ACUCCGGAAGUCGGGGGGCUUUAAGCCCGCGUCCGGAUCGGGGCCGUGUCAUUGUCAGCUACCUGGGGAUGCGCCUCUCGCUCCCUCUCUUGUCUUUGCGUGUGUGUGUGUGUCGGCCUGUCUACGCACUACACGAAGCCUUAGUUGGUCUUCUUUCGUCUAGUGGACGCACCUAGGACUUCUAUUUGGAACUGAGUCCGACAGCUCAGGACUGGCUGCUCAGACUCCACAAUUUAAUGAAAAAUCUGAGAUGAUGACUCAGAAAACCUCUAACGAUCUGAGGAAUAUAUUAAGGGAUUCCAAAGUCAAAGGCUGAUCAUGGAGGGCAUUGAUGAGGGGAGACUUCAGGUGGCCAGAGACUAGAAGAAAGGAACACCGGAAGAAUGAAAACGGUUGUGAUGCACUGCAGUGUG
rnacentral:antisense_RNA from 1 species